rnacentral:lncRNA from 1 species
GCCUGGGCACGGGGGGCGGCCCCGGUGUGUGUGUGAGGGGUGUGAGGGGUGUGAGGGGUGUGAGGGGUGUGAGGGGUGUGAGGGGUGUGUGAGUGUGAGUGUGAGUGUGAGUGUGAGUGUGAGUGUGUGUGUGUGUGUGUGAGUGUGUCCGUGCCCACACCGUGUCCCUGCAUCGCCACAUCCCCGUGUCCCCACAUCCCCGUGUCCCCACGGCCCCACACGUCUCCUGUGUCCUGCAUUCCCAUGUCCCCACAUCCCCGUUUCUGUCCCCGUGUCCCUGUGUCCCAGUAUGCCCAUAUCUGUGUCCCCCUGUCCCUGUGUCCCCAAGUCCCAGCGUCUCCAUAUCUGUGUACCCACAUCCCCAUGUCCCCAUUUCCCCAUGUCCCCAUGUCCCCGUGUCCCAGCACCCCAAUGUCUGUAUCCCCACAGCCCUGUCCCCAUGUCCCCGUGUCCCCCUGUCCCAGUGACCCAGCGUCCCCAUGUCCGUGUCCCCAUGUUCCCACAUCCCCACAACCCUGUGUCCCCACAUCCCUGUCCUCACGUCCCCAUAACCGUGUCCCCAUGUCCCAGCGUCCCCAUGUCCCAGCAUCCCCAUGUCUGUGUCCCCACAUCCCCACGUCCCACGUCCCUGUGUCCCCAUGUCCCCAUGUCCCCACAUCCCCCCGUCUGUGUCCCCACAUCCCCACGUCCCCGCAUCCAGGCGGUGCCGAUGCGGUGGCCGGGGCCGGCUCAUGCGCGGUGGCGCUGUGCCCCUCAGCGGGGGUCCCAGUGCCCGCACAUGGGGGUGUCCGGCAGCGAGGUCGGUGUGCGUGCCGCCGUGCGUCGCACGCCCGUGUCCACACGUGGGCACGCUCCGGGGUUGUGCGCUCAGCCUGCGCGCAGGCCCCGUGCCCCCUUCAGGGGCUGCAGCCCCGGGGGGCGGCCGUGCAGAGGGGGGGUCCCACGGCGGGGCCUUCGGGGUGCACCCGGCGGGGGGCAGAACCACCCCCCCCCCCAGCCCCGACCCCAAGCAGGCAGCGAGGCCGGGCGCGGUGAGAACGGGUUUUAAUGAGCAAACGGAGCGGCACCGCGCGGGGCGGCCGCAGCUACGCGGGGCGGACCCCGCACGCCUACAGGACCAACUAUGGGGACAAAGUGCACGAGCCACAUUUCACAUUUCACACUACCCCG